rnacentral:lncRNA from 1 species
CUGAAGUUCAUCUCCCUACCACUCCGUUAGUACUUCUCUCACCCCAUAUGCCCUUGGCAGAUCACAUGUCUCUCUCAUCUUACUCACAACUGAUUGUUGUUGUUUUGCUGCAGAUUUUGUGUCAGAACAGAGAAUUGUUACAGCUGAGAUCAUAGACAAAUCUUAUGUUGCAACAACAGGUUUGGAGGUUGUGCUGAGAAUUAAAAUGUCAAGGUUCAAAAAAUAGAUGCUUCAAGUAUUUAAUCUCUUUCAAAUACUCUUAUCAUGUUCCUUUCAGUGGUUAGAGCCCACAACUAAGAUAUGUUUGCUUCACACUCAUGCUUGUAAUACGCCUAUAUGGUUCCUUAUUUCAUCAUGUCCACGUUUGUAAUUCUCUGGUGCAGCAGAGCUGACCGAUAGUAGAGGUUAACCUUCUUUUUAGCCAAAGCUUCCAGUAUUGUACUAAUUAUAUGUGCUCUUUGGUGCAGCGCUCACUCAACAUAUUGAUAUGUAAGUCAAUUUUAAC